rnacentral:rRNA from 1 species
UACGUAGGUGGCAAGCGUUGUCCGGAAUUAUUGGGCGUAAAGCGCGCGCAGGCGGUCCUUUAAGUCUGAUGUGAAAGCCCACGGCUCAACCGUGGAGGGUCAUUGGAAACUGGGGGACUUGAGUGCAGAAGAGAAGAGUGGAAUUCCACGUGUAGCGGUGAAAUGCGUAGAGAUGUGGAGGAACACCAGUGGCGAAGGCGACUCUUUGGUCUGUAACUGACGCUGAGGCGCGAAAGCGUGGGGAUCAAACAGG